AUUGAACGCUGGCGGCAUGCCUUACACAUGCAAGUCGAACGGCAGCACGGGAGCAAUCCUGGUGGCGAGUGGCGAACGGGUGAGUAAUACAUCGGAACGUGCCCAAUCGUGGGGGAUAACGCAGCGAAAGCUGUGCUAAUACCGCAUACGAUCUACGGAUGAAAGCAGGGGAUCGCAAGACCUUGCGCGAAUGGAGCGGCCGAUGGCAGAUUAGGUAGUUGGUGAGGUAAAGGCUCACCAAGCCGUCGAUCUGUAGCUGGUCUGAGAGGACGACCAGCCACACUGGGACUGAGACACGGCCCAGACUCCUACGGGAGGCAGCAGUGGGGAAUUUUGGACAAUGGGCGAAAGCCUGAUCCAGCCAUGCCGCGUGCAGGAUGAAGGCCUUCGGGUUGUAAACUGCUUUUGUACGGAACGAAACGGCCUUUUCUAAUAAAGAGGGCUAAUGACGGUACCGUAAGAAUAAGCACCGGCUAACUACGUGCCAGCAGCCGCGGUAAUACGUAGGGUGCAAGCGUUAAUCGGAAUUACUGGGCGUAAAGCGUGCGCAGGCGGUUAUGUAAGACAGUUGUGAAAUCCCCGGGCUCAACCUGGGAACUGCAUCUGUGACUGCAUAGCUAGAGUACGGUAGAGGGGGAUGGAAUUCCGCGUGUAGCAGUGAAAUGCGUAGAUAUGCGGAGGAACACCGAUGGCGAAGGCAAUCCCCUGGACCUGUACUGACGCUCAUGCACGAAAGCGUGGGGAGCAAACAGG
rnacentral:rRNA from 1 species